rnacentral:rRNA from 1 species
UACGUAGGGGGCAAGCGUUGCUCGGAUUGACUGGGCGUAAAGGGCGCGUAGGCGGUUCGUACAGUCAGACGUGAAAUUCCUGGGCUCAACCUGGGGGCUGCGUUUGAUACGUGCGGACUUGAGUGCGGAAGAGGGUCGUGGAAUUCCCAGUGUAGAGGUGAAAUUCGUAGAUAUUGGGAAGAACACCGGUGGCGAAGGCGGCGACCUGGGCCAGUACUGACACUGAGGAGCGAAAGCGUGGGUAGCAAACAGG